rnacentral:rRNA from 1 species
UGGUCAAGUUAUUAAGGGUGCAGGGCGGAUGCCUUGGCACUAGGAGCCGAUGAAGGACGUGAUAAGCUGCGAUAAGCUUCGGGGAGUUGCACGUAAACUUUGAUCCGAAGAUUUCCGAAUGAGGAAACUCACUUAGAGUAAUGUCUAAGUAUCAUUAAGUGAAUACAUAGCUUAAUGAGGGGAACUCAGGGAACUGAAACAUCUAAGUACCUGAAGGAAGAGAAAGAAAUUCGAUUCCGUAAGUAGCGGCGAGCGAACGCGGAUUAGCCCAAACCAAUAAAGUUUUCUUUGUUGGGGUUGCGGACAUAUCAUAACGAAGAGGUAUCGUAAUUGAAGAGGUUUGGAAAGACCCACCACAGAAGGUAAUAGUCCUGUAUGUUAAACGAGAAGACUUUAGAUAUGAUCCAGAGUACCACGGGACACGUGAAACCCUGUGGGAAGCAGGAGGGACCACCCUCCAAGGCUAAAUACUACCUAGUGACCGAUAGCGUAUAGUACCGUGAGGGAAAGGUGAAAAGAACCCCGGGAGGGGAGUGAAAUAGAACCUGAAACCCUGCACUUACAAGCUGUGGAAGCACAUUUCUUGUGUGACCGCGUACUUUUUGUAGAACGGGCCAACGAGUUACGUUAAGUAGCAAGGUUAAGCACUUAAGGUGUGGAGCCGUAGCGAAAGCGAGUUUUAACUGAGCGUUCAGUUACUUGACGUAGACCCGAAACCGGGCGACCUACCCAUGAGCAGGAUGAAGCGAAAGUAAAAUUUCGUGGAGGUCCGAACCCACGAGCGUUGAAAAGCUCGGGGAUGACUUGUGGGUAGCGGUGAAAUUCCAAUCGAGCCCGGAGAUAGCUGGUUCUCCCCGAAAUAGCUUUAGGGCUAGCCUCAAGGUGAGAGAUACGGAGGUAGAGCACUGAAUGUCCUAGGGGGUAUUGCACCUACCGAAGACUAUCAAACUCCGAAUGCCGUCAUCUUAUACUUGGGAGUCAGACUGUGGGUGAUAAGAUUCAUAGUCGAAAGGGCAACAGCCCAGAUCGUCAGCUAAGGUCCCUAAAUGUAAGUUAAGUGGUAAAGGAUGUGGGAUUGCACAGACAACCAGGAUGUUGGCUUAGAAGCAGCCACUCAUUCAAAGAGUGCGUAAUAGCUCACUGGUCGAGUGAUCCUGCGCCGAAGAUUUCCGGGGCUAAAACUUACUACCGAAGCUACGGCAUCAGUAAUGAUGGGUAGGGGAGCUUCCCAUACGGGUUGAAGCAUGACCGUAAGGACAUGUGGACAGUAUGGGAGUGAGAAUGUUGGCAUGAGUAGCGAGAUGUGGGUGAGAAUCCCACAGGCCGUAAACCCAAGGUUUCCAGGGGAAGGUUCGUCCGCCCUGGGUUAGUCGGGACCUAAGCUGAGGCCGAAAGGCGUAGGUGAUGGACAACAGGUUGAUAUUCCUGUACUACCGAUAACCGUUUGAGAGAAGGGAUGACACAGUAGGAUAAGCUAAGCACACUGUUGGUUAUGUGUGCCCAAGCAUUGAGGCAGUCAAAGUAGGCAAAUCCGCUUUGAUAAUGCUGGGAUGUGAUGGGGAGCGAAAUUUAGUAGCGAAGUAGCUGAUUUCACACUGUCAAGAAAAGUCUCUAUCGAGGUUAAAGGUACCCGUACCGCAAACCGACACAGGUGGGUGAGGAGAGUAUCCUAAGGCCAGCGAGAGAACUGUUGUUAAGGAACUCGGCAAAAUGACCCCGUAACUUAGGGAUAAGGGGUGCCACCAUCAGGUGGCCGCAGAGAAUAGGCCCAAGCGACUGUUUACCAAAAACAUAGGUUUCUGCUAAGUCGCAAGACGAUGUAUAGGAGCUGACGCCUGCCCGGUGCUGGAAGGUUAAGGGGAUCUGUUAGAGCAAUCGAAGCAGUGAACUUAAGCCCCAGUAAACGGCGGCCGUAACUAUAACGGUCCUAAGGUAGCGAAAUUCCUUGUCGGGUAAGUUCCGACCCGCACGAAAGGCGUAACGAUUUGGGCACUGUCUCAACAACAGACUCGGUGAAAUUGUAAUUCCGGUGAAGAUGCCGGAUACCUGCGACAGGACGGAAAGACCCCAUGGAGCUUUACUGUAGCUUGACAUUGGGUCUUGGUACUACAUGUACAGGAUAGGUGGGAGGCUUUGAAACCAGGACGCCAGUUUUGGCGGAGCCAUCCUUGGGAUACCACCCUUGUAGUACUGGGACUCUAACCAUAGGCCAUGAAUCUGGUCUUGGGACACUGUCAGGUGGGCAGUUUGACUGGGGCGGUCGCCUCCCAAAAGGUAACGGAGGCGCUCAAAGGUUCUCUCAGUACGGUCGGAAAUCGUACGUAGAGUGUAAAGGCAAAAGAGAGCUUGAUUGCAAGACAUACAGGUCGAGCAAGGAUGAAAAUCGGACUUAGUGAUCCGGUGGUUCUGCGUGGAAGGGCCAUCGCUCAACGGAUAAAAGCUACCCUGGGGAUAACAGGCUUAUCUCCCCCAAGAGUCCACAUCGACGGGGAGGUUUGGCACCUCGAUGUCGGCUCAUCACAUCCUGGGGCUGUAGUAGGUCCCAAGGGUUGGGCUGUUCGCCCAUUAAAGUGGUACGCGAGCUGGGUUCAGAACGUCGUGAGACAGUUCGGUCCCUAUCCGUCGCAGGCGUAGGAAAUUUGAGAAGACCUGUCCUUAGUACGAGAGGACCGGGAUGGACGUACCUCUGGUGUACCAGUUGUCCUGCCAAGGGCAUGGCUGGGUAGCUAUGUACGGAAUGGAUAAGCGCUGAAAGCAUCUAAGCGCGAAGCCAACUUCAAGAUAAGAUUUCCCACCGCAAGGGUAAGACCCCAGAAAGACUAUCUGGUUGAUAGGUCGAAGGUGUAAGUGCAGCAAUGUAUUUAGCUUAUCGAUACUAAUAGGUCGAGGACUUGACCAAU